AUUGAACGCUGGCGGCAGGCCUAACACAUGCAAGUCGAGCGGAUGAAGGGAGCUUGCUCCUGGAUUCAGCGGCGGACGGGUGAGUAAUGCCUAGGAAUCUGCCUGGUAGUGGGGGAUAACGUCCGGAAACGGGCGCUAAUACCGCAUACGUCCAGAGGGAGAACGUGGGGGAUCUUCGGACCUCACGCUAUCAGAUGAGCCUAGGUCGGAUUAGCUAGUUGGUGGGGUAAAGGCCUACCAAGGCGACGAUCCGUAACUGGUCUGAGAGGAUGAUCAGGCACACUGGAACUGAGACACGGUCCAGACUCCUACGGGAGGCAGCAGUGGGGAAUAUUGGACAAUGGGCGAAAGCCUGAUCCAGCCAUGCCGCGUGUGUGAAGAAGGUCUUCGGAUUGUAAAGCACUUUAAGUUGGGAGGAAGAGCAGUAAGUUAAUACCUUGCUGUUUUGACGGUACCAACAGAAUAAGCACCGGCUAACUUCGUG
rnacentral:rRNA from 1 species